rnacentral:tRNA from 1 species
GACAGCUCAGCUGGUAGAGGACGAGUCUCUUAAUCUCAGGGUCGUGGGUUUGAGCCCCAUGUUGGGCA